UGAAAUGCAAGGUAAACCAACUCCAUGAGAUCAUGAUCCAAAACCUUUCUCCCGUUUGAGUGUGUCGAAGUUCCCCAAGAGUCUCAAAGGAAAUCCGGGAAAUGAUCACACCCAAAUGUAUAAUCAGAUGUGGAUAAGUGCAGGGUGGAAAGGCCAGCCCUCAAGUGUCCAAGUUCGGAGGGAACUCAGAUGGUCCCAAGGCAAGGCUCACAAGAGGGGGGCAAAAUUUAAAGGCUAAGAAAGUGUGCAAGUGCAGAUGAGAAUGCUAAAAAGGGAAAAAGAGAGGGAAAUAACUUCAAAUAAGCACACAUAAGGGGUUCAGGAAAAUAAGAUGAUUGUAAAGAGCCUAUUGCUUAGGCAUGGGCAGAUUCUAGGCAUGCCCAGUAAUGGAGAGUGCUAGCAUACCAGUAAGCAUGCUAGAACACAUGUUAUUAGAG
rnacentral:lncRNA from 1 species